AACGAACGCUGGCGGCAGGCCUAACACAUGCAAGUCGAGCGCGCCCUUCGGGGUGAGCGGCGGACGGGUGAGUAACGCGUGGGAACGUGCCCUUUUCUACGGAAUAGCCUCGGGAAACGGAGAGUAAUACCGUAUACGCCCUUUGGGGGAAAGAUUUAUCGGAAAAGGAUCGGCCCGCGUUGGAUUAGGUAGUUGGUGGGGUAAUGGCCUACCAAGGCGACGAUCCAUAGCUGGUUUGAGAGGAUGAUCAGCCACACUGGGACUGAGACACGGCCCAGACUCCUACGGGAGGCAGCAGUGGGGAAUCUUAGACAAUGGGGGCAACCCUGAUCUAGCCAUGCCGCGUGAGUGAUGAAGGCCUUAGGGCUGUAAAGCUCUUUCAGCUGGGAAGAUAAUGACGGUACCAGCAGAAGAAGCCCCGGCUAACUCCGUG
rnacentral:rRNA from 1 species